rnacentral:rRNA from 1 species
AUGAUUCCAGGACCUGGAAUCAUACCAGCCGAUGGAUGUUGUGCAGAAGCCAUAUAUAUACGACUAUACCAUAUAACUGGGAUUAACCGAUGCAAGUCAAAGAAGGAUUGGUCAGUGCUGUCGGCUGGCGUCAAGUUCAAUCCCGCGGAUCAGGAGCUGAUCGAGCACCUUGAGGCCAAAGUGAGUGCUGAUAGCGCGAGAUCUCACCCUCUCAUCAAUUUGUUGAUACCAACCAUCGAUAGCGAGGACGACAUAUGCUACACCCAUCCUGAGAAACUUCCAGGUAUCACACUGAGUGGCCUAAGCAAGCAUUUCUUCCAGCGCAAUUCAAGGGCAUUCAAAAGGGGCACAUGGACGCGUCGCAAGAUACAGUCGGAGUGUGUCAUGCACGAGAUGUGGCACAAGACCGGCAAUACCUUGCCGGUGAUGGUCAAUGGCCGGCAGACCAGCAGCAUAAAGGUUCUGGUGCUGCACACCAACAAGAACUUCGACCAGCAGAGGACCAACUGGGUGAUGCACCAGUACCACCUCGGGGACCUGGAUAAAGAGAAGGAGCGGGAGCUGGUCCUCUGCAAGAUUUUCUACCAGACAAACACUAGGGCCAGGAGUAAAAAGAUUAUAAGUUAG